GACGAACGCUGGCGGCGUGCUUAACACAUGCAAGUCGAACGGUGAAGCUCCAGCUUGCUGGAGUGGAUCAGUGGCGAACGGGUGAGUAACACGUGAGCAACCUGCCCCUGACUCUGGAAUAAGCGCUGGAAACGGCGUCUAAUACUGGAUACGAGAAGGGUCCGCAUGGGCACUUUCUGGAAAGUUUUUCGGUUGGGGAUGGGCUCGCGGCCUAUCAGCUUGUUGGUGAGGUAAUGGCUCACCAAGGCGACGACGGGUAGCCGGCCUGAGAGGGCGACCGGCCACACUGGGACUGAGACACGGCCCAGACUCCUACGGGGGGCAGGAGUGGGGAAUAUUGCACAAUGGGCGGAAGCCUGAUGCAGCGACGCCGCGUGAGGGAUGACGGCCUUCGGGUUGUAAACCUCUUUCAGCAGGGAAGAAGCGAAAGUGACGGUACCUGCAGAAGAAGCACCGGCUAACUACGUG
rnacentral:rRNA from 1 species